rnacentral:lncRNA from 1 species
AGACCUCCAAAAAACCGAGGCCAAGGAAGAGAUUGAGGCUUGGUUCGGCUCCGUUCUUCUCUUCCGGGAGAACGAGCCUUUUGACGACAAAAAAUCAACGAAACAAUGGGGGAACCGGCCACCAAAUCCAUGGAAAACUGUGGAAAAUCCAUGGGGAACCAUGAAAAACCAUGGAAAAACCAUGGGAAACUGUGGAAAACUAUGGAAAAUCCAUGGAAAAACCAUGGGAAACUAUGGAAAAUCCAUGCGAAACCAUAGAAAUCCAUGGGAAACUCUGGAAAACUGUGGAGAACCAUAGAAAUCCAUGGAAAAACCAUGGAAAACCAUGGAUAACCAUGGAAAUCCAUGGAAAACUAUGGAAACCAUUGGAAACCCAUGGAGAACCAUGGAAAACGAUGGAAAACCAUGGAAAAACCAUGGAAAACCAUGAAAAAAUAGAGAAAACUAGGGAAAACUAGGGAAAACCAUGGAAAACCCCAUGGGGAACCAUGGAAAAACUAUGGGGAACCAUGAAAAAACAUGGAAAACUGGGGGAAAACCAUGGGGAACCAUGGAAAAACCAUGGAGAACCAUGGGAAAACCAUGGGGAACCAUGAAAAAACCAUGGAAAACUGUGGGAAAACCAUGGGGAAACCAUGGAGAACCAUGGAAAAAACCAUGGGGAACCAUGAAAAAACCAUGGAAAACUGGGGGAAAACCAUGGGAAACCAUGGGAAAACCCAUGGAGAACCAUGGAGAACCAUGGAAAUCUAUGGAGCCCCAUGGAGAAUCCAUGGAAAACCAUGGUCAAAAAGAGGGGAAACUCAUCAAAACCCACCCGAAACGCGAUGGUUCCACCUUGUUCUCGCCGUGGGGCCGAUGGGGUUGGUGGCUCUUGGUCGUGCGCUGAUGUUCCUUCAAGAAGAUGCCAAGCCAACGACAAAAGACAACUUGGGUGUAGGCCAUUACCUGUUUCUCAUCUGUAGUUACUCGAUGCUGUCAUGUACAUGACCGUUCUGUAGCAAUAAAUGUGCCAUUUU